rnacentral:rRNA from 1 species
CGAGCGAGACCUUCGGGUCUAGCGGCGGACGGGUGAGUAACGCGUGGGAACGUGCCCUUUGCUACGGAAUAGUCCCGGGAAACUGGGUUUAAUACCGUAUGUGCCCUUCGGGGGAAAGAUUUAUCGGCAAAGGAUCGGCCCGCGUUGGAUUAGGUAGUUGGUGGGGUAAUGGCCUACCAAGCCGACGAUCCAUAGCUGGUUUGAGAGGAUGAUCAGCCACACUGGGACUGAGACACGGCCCAGACUCCUACGGGAGGCAGCAGUGGGGAAUCUUAGACAAUGGGGGCAACCCUGAUCUAGCCGUGCCGCGUGAGUGAUGAAGGCCUUAGGGUUGUAAAGCUCUUUCAGCUGGGAAGAUAAUGACGGUACCAGCAGAAGAAGCCCCGGCUAACUCCGUGCCAGCAGCCGCGGUAAUACGGAGGGGGCUAGCGUUGUUCGGAAUUACUGGGCGUAAAGCGCACGUAGGCGGACUGGAAAGUUGGGGGUGAAAUCCCGGGGCUCAACCUCGGAACUGCCUUCAAAACUAUC